AGCCCACACGAUUAAGAAGUGCCUGCUCAAUGAAUAAGUCAUUAUAUUUAUGAUGACAUCCAAAGAGAAAUCAAUUUUGCAAUACCUGACAUUGUAAAGUAAGUUCUAUAGAACUGUGGUCAAGCCAGCUAUGUUGCAUGAGAGUGAAUGUUGACCAUCUGAAGUACAACAUACCCACAUGAUGAAUGUGGCAGAAAUGCGGAUGUUAAAAUGAAUGUUUGAUAACGAUAAUGAGUAAAAUUAUGAAUAACCACAUUGCAAAGAGUACAUGUAGCACACAUUAGGAUAAAAUGAAAGUCAAUUAAGAUGGUUUGGUAUGUAAAGCAUCGAAUGCCGCAGUACUUAAGUGUGAUAAGUUAGUGGUAAAACUAGUGAAAUGAGAAAAGGGGAGACCUAUUGAUGCAAAAUUGGUUUCAAAGAGUUGAAUGGCAAAAGAGAAUCCAUAUAGUCAAUUCCAAUUAGUUUGGAAAUAAGGCUUAGAUGUUGUUAAUCACAUCAAAGAGAAAAGCAUGCACAUAAUACAGUUAAAUUAUCAUUAUGUAGAAAGCCUUAGCGACCAAAAUACACCAUUGAGCCUUCAUCUGCACUCUUAUGAUCAUUUGAAAUUAAAAUUAUCAAGAAAAUAACACUUCACACAAUGGGGAUUCACAUACAUUUUACCUUGAAUUCUUUCUAUCUCAAGGACAAGACACACCAGUAUCCAAAAGUUUUUAUAGCCUUUCAUAAGCUUAAGAGUCCAAUAUUAAGGUUUCUACAGCUUACAGUUGUCCUAUUGCUGCUAAGAGUUGGCAACUCAGAUAAGCAAAUUAAGACAUUGCAAGUAAACCAAACAUGGAUUCCAUAUGAACCUAUAAACCUCUACCUCAACAUCCAAAUUCCAUCUUGCAUAAAGAAGACAAGAGACUCUUCUGCCAGAUAUUGAACUUGAUAAAAAGACAGGAGGAAAUAGUAUAAAAAUAAACCAAUUAAAAUUUACAAAUAUAAACAAAGUAUAUAUUUAUGUAUCUACAUAAAAACACAGGCACGUGGAUUAUGGACCAGUUUUUGGUGUGUAAAUACACAACAAACACAUAAAUACAGACUCAAAAGGUUCCUUGGAAGCAAUUAGGCUCAUGAUUUACAAGAUCAAUAGAACCAUAGAAGUAGGUGUCUUGUCCUAAUCAUUAUCACCCUCCAAAUUUUGUAGCCUGGUUUUAAAAGAAAUCACAAGGCAAUUGUAGUUAGAAGCUACGCCUAUACCCAUAUUUGAAGAUAUGACGAAUGGCAACUAUUAGAAUGAGAUCUACUUGCAGCACUUGCAGCCCAACUCUUCACACAACAUCACCAUAUGUCCUCUAAGUGUGAGCUCAACUCCCUCUUUCUUUUCUUCAACUAUUUUUCUUUUUACACCUUAGGAUAAAUAAAUAAUUUUGAAUUCUUCCAAAAUCUUCAGUCCUUUCUUGAUUUUCUAAAAAAAAAG
rnacentral:misc_RNA from 1 species